rnacentral:tRNA from 1 species
GGCUCCGUGGCGCAAUGGAUAGCGCAUUGGACUUCUUGGCUUGUGAAUGUGAGGUGAUUCAAAGGUUGUGGGUUCGAGUCCCACCGGAGUCG